AGAGUUUGAUCCUGGCUCAGAGCGAACGCUGGCGGCAGGCCUAACACAUGCAAGUCGAGCGCCGUAGCAAUACGGAGCGGCAGACGGGAGAGUAACACGUGGGAACGUGCCCUUCAGUUCGGAACAACCCAGGGAAACUUGGGCUAAUACCGGAUACGUCCGUAAGGAGAAAGAUUUAUCGCUGAAGGAUCGGCCCGCGUCUGAUUAGCUAGUUGGUGAGGUAACGGCUCACCAAGGCGACGAUCAGUAGCUGGUCUGAGAGGAUGAUCAGCCUCACUGGGACUGAGACACGGCCCAGACUCCUACGGGAGGCAGCAGUGGGGAAUAUUGGACAAUGGGCGCAAGCCUGAUCCAGCCAUGCCGCGUGGAUGAUGAAGGCCCUAGGGUUGUAAAGUCCUUUCGGCGGGGAAGAUAAUGACGGUACCCGCAGAAGAAGCCCCGGCUAACUUCGUGCCAGCAGCCGCGGUAAUACGAAGGGGGCUAGCGUUGCUCGGAAUCACUGGGCGUAAAGCGCACGUAGGCGGCUUUUUAAGUCAGGGGUGAAAUCCUGGAGCUCAACUCCAGAACUGCCUCUGAUACUGAGAAGCUUGAGUCCGGGAGAGGUGAGUGGAACUGCGAGUGUAGAGGUGAAAUUCGUAGAUAUUCGCAAGAACACCAGUGGCGAAGGCGGCUCACUGGCCCGGUACUGACGCUGAGGUGCGAAAGCGUGGGGAGCAAACAGGAUUAGAUACCCUAGUAGUCC
rnacentral:rRNA from 1 species